rnacentral:rRNA from 1 species
CACGUAGUUAGCCGGUGCUUCUUCUCCAGGUACCGUCACUUACGCUUCGUCCCUAGCGAAAGGAGUUUACAACCCGAAGGCCGUCAUCCCCCACGCGGCGUCGCUGCAUCAGGCUUGCGCCCAUUGUGCAAUAUUCCCCACUGCUGCCUCCCGUAGGAGUCUGGGCCGUAUCUCAGUCCCAAUGUGGCCGUACACCCUCUCAGGCCGGCUACCCGUCGACGCCUUGGUAGGCCAUUACCCCACCAACAAGCUGAUAGGCCGCGAGCUCAUCCCACACCGAAAAAACUUUCCACCACAACAUCCAAGAAGUGGUCCUAUCCAGUAUUAGACCCAGUUUCCCAGGCUUAUCCCGAAGUGCAGGGCAGAUCACCCACGUGUUACUCACCCGUUCGCCACUCGAGUACCCAAGCAAGCUUGGACCUUUCCGUUCGACUUGCAUGUGUUAAGCACGCCGCCAGCGUUCAUCCUGAGCCAGGAUCAAACUC